GAUGAACGCUAGCGGCAGGCUUAACACAUGCAAGUCGAGGGGCAGCAUAAACAUUGCUUGCAAUGUUUGAUGGCGACCGGCGCACGGGUGCGUAACGCGUAUGUAACCUACCUCAAACAGGGGCAUAACACUGAGAAAUUGGUACUAAUUCCCCAUAACACCUGAUAGGGCAUCCUAUUAGGUUGAAAGUUCCGGCGGUUUGAGAUGGACAUGCGUUGUAUUAGCUAGUUGGUGAGGUAACGGCUCACCAAGGCGACGAUACAUAGGGGGACUGAGAGGAAGGUCCCCCACACUGGUACUGAGACACGGACCAGGACUCCUACGGGAGGCAGCAGUGAGGAAUAUUGGUCAAUGGUCGAGAGACUGAACCAGCCAAGUCGCGUGAGGGAAGAC
rnacentral:rRNA from 1 species